rnacentral:rRNA from 1 species
GACGAACGCUGGCGGCGUGCCUAACACAUGCAAGUCAACGAGAAAGGGGUAGCAAUAUCCUGAGUAAAGUGGCGCACGGGUGAGUAACACGUAGGUAAUCUGCCAUUAGGACGGGGACGAACCACGCGAAAGCGUAGCUAAUACCCGAUGAAUCAGCGAUACCGCAUGGUAUUGCUAUUAAAUAACCGCAAGGUGCCUAAUGAUGAACCUGCGUCCCAUUAGGUAGUUGGGAGGUAACGGCUCACCAAGCCGACGAUGGGUAGCUGGUCUGAGAGGAUGAUCAGCCACACUGGAACUGAGACACGGUCCAGACUCCUACGGGAGGCAGCAGUGAGGAAUAUUGCGCAAUGGGCCGAAAGGACUGACGCAGCGACGCCGCGUGAAGGAUGAAGU